rnacentral:lncRNA from 1 species
AUGGCAUGUUGGGAGCCACAAAAUUGCACUUCCGUACGAUUUCCAACGGCCACCGCUGGCUGGAAGACAUUUCACUCGGCACCAAGCCUUCAGCUGUUCCAAUCACGUGUGGCCAGAUGCGGGGGAGAAAGAACACACAAAAUGGACAGUUGCAACGGCUCACUCUGCCCGUCUGUCCCACCCACCCGGGCCCCACGUCCCACCCCCAUAAACGUGGCCCCCGAAGUAUCCCUGAAUCGCAGUCUGUCGCUAUUACUCCUCCCAAAGAUGGAUUUUCUUAGCAGAUUCUUCAGAAUUGUCAACAAUGAUACCACUCCUUUCUUCAAAAGGGUUUGUGACCACUUCCCAGAAUUCCUGCAGACUGAGACAGUCCCAGCCUGCAUCCAGCGAGAGGACUCCCUGCCCACCCUCUCUGGUGGACUGAUGGGAGCCAGGGAUGUUAACUGGGGGCAGAGGUCAUCCUGCUCUCAAAGAGAAACGCUAACCCUCCCCCACCCCAAACUCAACUUGUUCCUGGGCCCCAGGAACCCAGGCCAGGGCCUCCCCUCUGGCCCCAGACACAAUCAAACCCCUAACAGGCUGGGGCACCGCGGGCUAGGGGAAAGGAAAGAGCCAGGGAGCCCCAGGGAGAGGCCCGGAGGACACAGCCACAGGGCCAGCUCACCCCUGCCCAAAAGGGAGCCCCAAGUCAGUGUCCACUCAUCAACGCUCACUGCUCUACCUCCCAGGAAACAGCCCCUGGCCCUGCCAACGUUUGCAUCUGCCUGCGGGAAUCUCCACAGUCCCUGCUGCCCAGAAAACUCGAGGUGGGUUCCAGCCACAGCCUUAGCAGACCACAGGAGGCCCAGUGAGAGGCAGCUGAGCAAGGCUCGGCCCCCAGGCACCAACUCAGGCCCUCGCCCACCAGGAGGGGCAGUCCAGGGCGCCCAGGCCAGGCGUUGGGGAGCCGCUGGCUGGGCAGGGAAGUGCAAAUGCACCAAGCAGAGUCCACGCGCACAGGUCACAUGGAGCAAGCGGCACGCAGACCCCCGUAUUCUCCACAGCUCACUCGGGAAGCACAGAGCCAAUGAACUACAGCGUCUGCACCUUCUGAGGGGGGUCAGGAGGCGUGUUUUAGAAAGAACGGACUGGUUGUGUCAAACACCUCUCCCCAAGCACUAA